UUUGACCUGAAAUCAGGUAGGGCUACCCGCUGAACUU
rnacentral:rRNA from 1 species